UGGAAUUUAGUUUCUUUAACGACACUUGCAGCAAAAGUUAUUAGAAUUAUCUCACCUUUUGUUACUACGCUCGAAUUGUCGAAGCCUGACAAGGUGUGCGCCUUUUGUAUCAUUUUAUCUUCAGCUUGCAUUUCCUGUAAUACCCUUAGUAGGAUGAUAUUUGCAGAACUCUCUGGGUCAAUCAAAACUCGUUUUUACAUUAGUAUCAUGUACAAGUAAAGAUAUUACCAGUGCAUCAUUGUGGGGAGUAAUCACUCCUUCUGUAUCUGCAUCAUCAAAGUUUAUGCUUUCGUGCUCUAAGGUCUGCCGCACUCGCUUCCCAUGUGUGAUCUUUACUUUGGAAACCUUAUUUGAAAUUGUAUACGUUACUCCAUAAAUAUCUUCUCCCCCACUGAUGACAUUUACAGUUCUCUUAGGUGAUGGUGGUUUUGGUGACUCCUGCCUAUUUUUCAUAUAAGCCUGUUUUUCCUUCUCACUAAAUAACUUAGUGAGAUAUCCUUGCUUCAAUAAAUGGUCCACUUCACAUUGUAGGAAUCUUCAUUCUGAUGUUUUAUGCCCGUGGUCGUUGUGGAAUUCACACAAAUGGUCCGGAUUAUGCAUGUUUGGAACCGCAGUUCUUUUGGCCACCAUACCUUGUCUCCCAUACUUCUUAGAACAGC
rnacentral:lncRNA from 1 species